rnacentral:rRNA from 1 species
GGGUGCGAUCAUACCAGCGUUAAUGCAUCAGAUCCCAUCAGAACCUCGCAGUUAAGCGCGCUUGGGCUAGAGUAGUACUGGGAUGGGUGACCUCCCGAGAAGUCCUAGUGUUGCACCCU